rnacentral:lncRNA from 1 species
CCAGGACAUAGGAAAGAGAAAGAACACACCAUCAUACAAACAAUUUCUCCAAAAAAAAAUAUUUAAGUAAUUAGUGUAUCUGUAUAUAUAGGAUAAUUCUUUUUGGGUGGUGUUAUGGCAACUCAAAAUAGUGAAAUUACACUCCUCUUAUUAAAAAUUCGAAGAGAUUCGAAUACUAAGAAAUUAUAAUGUUAACUAGCACUCCUCACAUUAAGUAAUAAGCAUAUAUGAUAAUUUUCUAUA